GAUGAACGCUGGCGGCGUGCCUAAUACAUGCAAGUCGAGCGAACAGACGAGGAGCUUGCUCCUCUGACGUUAUCGGCGGACGGGUGAGUAACACGUGGAUAACCUACCUAUAAGACUGGGAUAACUUCGGGAAACCGGAGCUAAUACCGGAUAAUAUAUUGAACCGCAUGGUGCAAUAGUGAAAGACGGUUUUGCUGUCACUUAUAGAUGAAUCCGCGCCGCAUUAGCUAGUUGGUAAAGUAACGGCUUACCAAGGCAACGAUGCGUAGCCGACCUCAGAGGGUGGUCGCCUACACUGGAUCUGAGACUGGGCACAGACUCCGACGGUGGGCCGCAGUAGGGACUCCUACGCAAUGGACCAAUGCUUGACGGAGCACCGCCGCGGGAGUGCUGAUGGUCUUCGGACCGGAAAGCUCUGUUAUUAGUGGAGUUGAAAAGUGUAAGUACCCAUGAUCGUCUUGACGGUACCGAAUCAGAAAGCCCCGGCUAACUACGUG
rnacentral:rRNA from 1 species